rnacentral:rRNA from 1 species
CGCAAGCCUGACGGAGCAAGACCGCGUGCGGGAUGACGGCCUAAUGGUUGUAAACCGCUUUUCUCUGGGAAGAUGAUGACGGUACCAGAGGAAUCAGCCUCGGCUAACUCCGUGCCAGCAGCCGCGGUAAUACGGAGGAGGCAAGCGUUAUCCGGAAUUAUUGGGCGUGAAGCGUCCGUAGGUGGUUAUUCAAGUCUGCUGUCAAAGCGUGGGGCUUAACUCCAUAGAGGCAGUGGAAACUGGAUGACUUGAGUGCGGUAGGGGUCGAGGGAAUUCCCAGUGUAGCGGUGAAAUGCGUAGAUAUUGGGAAGAACACCAGUGGCGAAAGCGCUCGACUGGGCCUGCACUGACACUGAGGGACGAAAGCUAGGGGAGCG